GAGAAUGUGUAUGUGGUGGAUUUUGAUUCCUUGAUCGCAAUGGCUCGGAGUGCUCGUUCUAAGAAACGGAAGCGCAGCAAGCAGAGAGUUAAAGCUAUCCCAGAAGAGCCCUUCAAAGAAGAACCAAUUAGUCCACUUGUUAGGAAGUAUUGGCUUCAACGGUAUAGUCUCUUCUCGAGGUACGACGAGGGCAUUAAAAUGGACGAAGAAGGGUGGUUUUCGGUGACUCCGGAGAAGAUUGCAAUCAGUCAUGCUCAGAGGUGUGGUGGAGGAGUCGUGAUCGGAGUCGUGAUCGACUGUUUCACAGGGGUUGGUGGCAAUGCAAUUCAAUUUGCGAGAAUGGGUUACCAUGUUGUUGCUAUUGAUAUUGAUCCUAGAAAGGUUCAAUUAGCUUCUAAUAAUGCAAAGGUUUAUGGAGUUGAAGAUUACAUUGAUUUUAUAGUUGGAGAUUUUUUCAAACUUGCUACAUCUCUGAAGGGAGACGUGGUGUUUCUCUCACCACCAUGGGGAGGCCCAGCUUACAGAACCAUUAAGAAUUUUACCCUUGAUCUGCUCAAGCCAAAAGAUGGGUAUUCAAUCUUUCAAGUAGCUCAAAAAAUAACACCUAAUAUUAUCAUGUUCUUGCCUCGAAAUGUUGACUUGCAACAAGUUGAAGAACUUUCUUGGUUAUCUUCCCCUCCUUUAAAUAUUGAGAUUUACACAUGCAGAUUGAAGCGAAUUAUGUACAAUGCAAUUUAAAGGGGACAACUGCUUACUUUGGUGGUACUGCAUUUGGGAAGCUUGAUGUUUCUUAAUUUUGUAGAGUUUCAACAGUUGGAAGAGUUGCUUCCUGAAAACAGGGUGAGAUGAUGAAAACCGCUGUUUCAAUGGGUUCUUCAUAGUUCAUAUAUCUCAUGGUGUUUUGACUUGCCAUUAAGGUGUCUGAUAGAGCUGGGCAAAAUUUAGGCUUGGGUUGUCAACU